UUUUGUAAUUGACCGAGUUUUUGUAAUUGACCGAGUUUUUGUAAUUGACAGAGUUUUGGUGAUUUAGAGAGCUAUUGUAAAUCGACCGAAGUUUUCGCAAUGGACUAUUUUUAUGAGCAUUGAUUGACAAAAAAAANNAACAUAUGGAACGUGCUUGUGUAAUGCAAUGCACUGAUAAGUGUACACAUUCAAGCGAAGUAACGCAAUUGACAAACGAAUAUUCAAUUACAUUGAAAUGCAAUUUUGAACCAUUCCGCGCGCCAUAAUAUGACAUCAUUCACCCGGUUUUAACCUGUGAUAACCUUUGGUAAAACAUUAGCAUACAUAAAUAUAGCAGGUAUACUGUUCGUNCUUUCGCUUUCGCCAGUCUCAUCUUUUUCUCGCCAGACUGUUCCUAGAAUUGGCCGUGUCUUGCUUGCUCCUUAAGCUCGGGUAUUUUCCCAUCUUCCUUGUGCAGUGAUGGAGAUAUUUAACAGUGAACAAGUGGCGAACUUCCUGUNCAAUAAGCGAGUAAUGGUGAUCGGAGACUCGAUCCAACGAAGCAUGUACAAGGAUCUUAUUCGUCUCCUGGUUCCAGACCCAACCAGUACAUANCUGACAAACCAGCAUCUAAAGACCAAGGUAUGAAACUGUAGACAUCAGACACUCCAUGCUCAGUAGUAUUGAAGUAUUAGCCAUCCCAAAGUCGAAGAA
rnacentral:misc_RNA from 1 species